UACGUAGGGGGCUAGCGUUGUCCGGAAUCAUUGGGCGUAAAGCGCGCGUAGGCGGCCAGAUAAGUCCGGUGUGAAAGUCACAGGCUCAACCUGUGAAUGCCGCUGGAAACUGUCUGGCUAGAGUCCGGAAGGGGCGAGUGGAAUUCCUGGUGUAGCGGUGAAAUGCGCAGAUAUCAGGAGGAACACCAAUGGCGAAGGCAGCUCGCCGGAACGGUACUGACGCUGAGGCGCGAAAGCGUGGGGAGCGAACAGG
rnacentral:rRNA from 1 species